rnacentral:rRNA from 1 species
CAUGCCGCGUGUGUGAAGAAGGUCUUCGGAUUGUAAAGCACUUUAAGUUGGGAGGAAGGGCAGUAAGUUAAUACCUUGCUGUUUUGACGUUACCGACAGAAUAAGCACCGGCUAACUCUGUGCCAGCAGCCGCGGUAAU